rnacentral:rRNA from 1 species
UGAACGCUGGCGGCGUGCCUAAUACAUGCAAGUCGAGCGAACGGACGAGAAGCUUGCUUUUCUGAUGUUAGCGGCGGACGGGUGAGUAACACGUGGAUAACCUACCUAUAAGACUGGGAUAACUUCGGGAAACCGGAGCUAAUACCGGAUAAUAUUUUGAACCGCAUGGUUCACAAGUGAAAGACGGUCUUGCUGUCACUUAUAGAUGGAUCCGCGCUGCAUUAGCUAGUUGGUAAGGUAACGGCUUACCAAGGCAACGAUGCAUAGCCGACCUGAGAGGGUGAUCGGCCACACUGGAACUGAGACACGGUCCAGACUCCUACGGGAGGCAGCAGUAGGGAAUCUUCCGCAAAGGGCGAAAGCCUGACGGAGCAACGCCGCGUGAGUGAUGAAGGUCUUCGGAUCGUAAAACUCUGUUAUUAGGGAAGAACAUAUGUGUAAGUAACUGUGCACAUCUUGACGGUACCUAAUCAGAAAGCCACGGCUAACUACGUG